AGAGUUUGAUCCUGGCUCAGGACGAACGCUGGCGGCGCGCUUAACACAUGCAAGUCGAGCGAGAACCGGUCCUUCGGGACCGGGGAAAGCGGCGAACGGGUGAGUAACACGUGGGUAAUCCACCCUUGGUACCGGGAUAGCCCGGGGAAACCCGGAUUAAUACCGGAUGGCCCAACAGCUCUUCGGGGCGGUUGGAAAAGGUAGCUUCGGCCUCCGACCAAGGACGAGCCCGCGGCGGAUUAGCUUGUUGGUGGGGUAACGGCCUACCAAGGCGACGAUCCGUAGCUGGUCUGAGAGGACGAUCAGCCACACUGGGACUGAGACACGGCCCAGACUCCUACGGGAGGCAGCAGUGGGGAAUCUUGCGCAAUGGGCGAAAGCCUGACGCAGCGACGCCGCGUGAGGGAAGAAGGCCUUCGGGUCGUAAAGUUCUGUUGUUAGGGAAGAACAAGUACCAGAGUAACUGCUGGUACCUUGACGGUACCUAACCAGAAAGCCACGGCUAACUACGUGCCAGCAGCCGCGGUAAUUC
rnacentral:rRNA from 1 species